rnacentral:rRNA from 1 species
UACGUAGGGUGCAAGCGUUGUCCGGAAUUAUUGGGCGUAAAGGGCUCGUAGGCGGUUUGUCGCGUCGGGAGUGAAAACUCAGGGCUUAACCCUGAGCCUGCUUCCGAUACGGGCAGACUAGAGGUAUGCAGGGGAGAAUGGAAUUCCUGGUGUAGCGGUGAAAUGCGCAGAUAUCAGGAGGAACACCAGCGGCGAAGGCGCCGCUCUGGGCCGUAACUGACGCUGAGGAGCGAAAGCAUGGGUAGCAAACAGG